GACGAACGCUGGCGGCGUGCUUAACACAUGCAAGUCGAACGAUGAACCCGGAGCUUGCUCCGGUGGAUUAGUGGCGAACGGGUGAGUAACACGUGAGUAACCUGCCCUUGACUCUGGGAUAACUGCGGGAAACUGUAGCUAAUACCGGAUACGACCCUCGGCGGCCUCGCCCGGGGGUGGAAAGAAUUUCGGUCAAGGAUGGACUCGCGGCCUAUCGGCAUGUUGGUGAGGUAACGGCUCACCAGGGCGACGACGGGUGGCCGGCCUGAGCGGGGGACCGGCCAAACUGGGACUGAGAAACGGCCCAGACUCCUACGGGAGGCAGCAGUGGGGAAUUUUGGACAAUGGGGGCAACCCUGAUCCAGCAAUGCCGCGUGAGUGAAGAAGGCCUUCGGGUUGUAAAGCUCUUUUGUAAGGGAAGAAACAGCAGCUCUAACACAGUAUGCGAAUGACGGUACCUGAAGAAUAAGCACCGGCUAAC
rnacentral:rRNA from 1 species